GUCCCCUACAGGUAUCUUCAUUCUAGAAUUCUCCCCUCUCCUCCCGAUUUGUCCAUGCUCGCCACUGCCCUGGUCUCCUCUUCAUCCCAGCCGCGGCCACCACGUGCCGCCGCUCCGGCUAGCGCCCCUCCCUCCUCGCGCCCCGCCACCUGCUCCUCCGCACUGCCUUGUGGCCAGAGCGCAGUCCCGGCAGGUCCCCGCCUGAUCCGCUGGUCGCCCCGUGCUUCUCCUCGAGAAUGGCCUCCGGCGGCAUCGCCGUCUCCGAGGCACAUGCUCAUCUUCCUUCUCUUCGCCGUUCAUCACCAACGGCGGCAGCGCUGGUUUGCCCCGCGGCGGAUCGCUGCCUGGUGGGUAACGUAGCCGCCAGUCUCAUGUGGGGAGCUUCUCCAUGGCUAAGAUCUUUCUCCAUGGCUGCAUCCUCAUCGUCUCCGGUCACCAGCCCACCACCACCGCAUCAGAGCCGCGCGAGGAGGCCGAGGACGGGGCGCCGGCCACCGAGGCGACGCGGCGAAGGAGGCUGAUGUGGUGUUGCGUAUUGCCUGCGGCCAACUGUGCGGGAAUAGUUCAGCGUGGGAUCAGGCGAGCCCGGGAGCACGCAUGCCUGCCGGAGUCAAGCCGGGAGCAGGCAUGCCUGCCGGAGUCAAGCGAGAGGCACCUGCUCAACAUCAGAGGGAGGAGGCUAGCAACAACCGGUAGCCGAUUCGGUGCGCAGGAGCGUGGUUGUCAAAUGGGAGCUGAUUCAGAAAGAGCAUGUGCAAUAUGGGGGAAAUGGGAGAGGUGCAGCGCCAUGGCAUAGUCUUUGCACUACGACUAUUCAUCCCUUCUUUGGUUCUUCGUUAGUGUCUUCUCUGUUUGCUAUUUCUGGUUUCAUCGAUUGCUGUUAUCUGCUCAGGUUCUUGUGGAUUCUUCAAUGUUGUUUCCAUGUGAACAUAUGGUUGCAAACAACCUUGAUAGCAGAACUAGAUUGAUGCGUUUUAAGAAAAACUGCUAGACUAAUUUUCUGCCUUCUACUUUGUAGAUGUGAACAUACUGAAGCAAUAAAUGAAAAUUGGAGGAGACCAUCUUCCACCCAUUAGUCCAGUUGGUAUACUGUUGUUUGCCUGACUGCCCAGAUCUUACUAUUUGUGCACCAAUUAGGAUGCUAUUUGGACACCCAUUAAAUCCUAUGAAGCACAAAUUUUAAAAGCAUACUUCUUUGUACCAGCCCAACUAUUCAAGUUGCCUUUAUUUCUUACUUGGAAGAACUUAUUAAUGCCUUGCUUCCUGGUGGAAUUUCAAUAGUGCCGCGCUUUUUGCUUUCUGGUUCUGUCUUGCGGCCACCAUUUGAUAAGCGAUAUCUUUGAUGGUAACUUUUUCAGUUCUUGGUGCAUGUGCAUUUGAAUUCGCAGACUUGCAUUUACUGGCGGAAAUAAACAUAGAUUACGCGCAUAAUGUUGCUUUACUCAGAAGAUAUUAUAUAUUCUCCUCUUAUAGUUAAGUUCUAUGAGUGUUUGGUCAGCUUAAUGAUACUGAGUAUUUCAGUAUUCCAUUCUCAAUGGAAUGUACGCAUUACCUGGGCUGCCAGUCGAGGUAUCCAGACUCCAUAUCUUAUCCUCUUAGUAUAGCCAGGCUCUGCGGAUGUUCACUGCCACAUCCCCUUAUCUACAUUGUGCAGAAAAUAUCGCCCAUGUCUUCGAGUAAACUCGAGCUCUCUGGUCAUUUGUGAUAAAGAACUAGGUAUGCUAUCUCUUUCUAAUUAUGAUUAUCUUAUAUGUGAGUAGAAGAAAACUAUGGUUAUCUUAGUAAUUAAUGGAUAAAGCUUCCCUGCAAAGCAACGCUCAAUCUACUUUCCACCAAUUAGUCUGCUACUCUGUGCAAUUGGGUAUGGCUUGAAUAGAAUGGAUGCAACUCAUUUUUAUCAAUGUUGACUGCUUCUAUUUAUGCUAUGGAUUAGAAGCUGUGCAGUAAAGUCUUAUUGACCAAAUUAGCGAACUUGUGCUUCAAUUAUAUUCGACAUGCUAAUCCUUUGUUUAUUUGUUACAUAAAGUAAUGUACAUUCAAUGUGAAAAAUAUGCACAUGUCACUUUCAUUUUAUAAAUUGAUAACUCAUACUACUGUCAGAAGUGGAGAUGUAUAUGUCGGCAAGAGGUUGCCAAAGGUUGUGUGUGUCUGCAGCAAACUUAUCUUCGGUCUUCUCCCAUUUCAUUCGCUUGCCUCUAUCUGCAAUAUUUAUCUGAUAUGUUGAUGUGUUAUUUCUUCCUUCUGAUGUUGUUCGAUGCUAAAUGAGUAUAACCUGAAACUAAUCUGGUAUAUGGUGAGGGUUUUGGUUUAUAUUGAUUUGCUUCGCUGACAUGCGGUGCUCUUUUCCUGUUGUUCAUAUUAUUUAUUGCUGCCAAUUUAUUUUGAUUUAGUACCAUAAUUUUUUUUGCUGUACAAGAGUAAUUUUUAAUUACCUGUUUUGCAUGUAACCGGCGAGCAGAAGCCAAUAUUUUUUCAUCCCGACGUCUCUUGAGUUUGGACGGCGGCAAUCUAGCCAUGCCCAAGUGGAAAAUAUUUCUCAUCCCCAAUGUUGUGAAGUUUCGACUACGGCACUCUGGCCAAAACUUGGAUCCGUCUUGCAGUAGUCUCUUCCGAAUCAGCAAUUAAGAGUCAACAGAUCCACUGGAGUGUCCCUUCCUCUUUUGGCCAGAACAAAGUACUCCAUGGCCAUCUCUACCGCCCUUUCCCAUAAUCUGCUCAGAAUUCAGUUAUGGUUGAAGCAAUACUUACUUCGAACAAUCCAUUUCUAUGGCUGUGCGUGUUCAGUUGAAUCAAAGCUUAGCUCAAUUCAUGCACGGUUACGGACUUGGUUGCAAAAAAAUAGUUAGAAAUGCAUAUGAAUAUACAACCUAGAGUUGUAGGAGAGAGAAUAGACUCUAUUAUGGAGUUGGCAAAAUACGCAGUAAGGAGGGUGGAAUCAUGCUAGAUCUAUACUAUAAUUAUAUAUCCUUAAUGUCUAUAAGUGGAGUUAUCUUUUGUGCAGGUUUCCGCUUUAAGAAAUGAUUUUAGAAUCCGAUUCAUUCAAUAGAAAAUUAAAAAAUAUGAAAACAAAAUAGAAAAAAUAUAUACCUAGGUUAGAAUCAUUAUGUAAUCCGAUAUAUGGAAUUCUCUUCUAUAUAGUUCAGAGUUCCAUCAUAGAGUGACCCUACUUCGAAGUGCAUCUACCAAAUAAUCGUAUCGCCACUGCAGUGUGCCCCCGCGAGCACCACUGGCACAAGACCUUUGAGGACGUCCACAUCAUCUCACAAGAGGCACAGAUUGUUUCAUACACUGCACUAGGCCUUUUGUAAUGGGAGGCACAGAUAGUUUGCGUAGUAUGUUUUCUUUGCCUAUGUAUUGCACUAUGUAAUGGGAACAAGUUGCUUCUUUCAUCCACUACUACAACUUUGCGGCUUUUUUCCAGCUAUAACAUCUAGAUGAUGGAUUGACAUUGUUUUUCCCGAUGGCAAUUUUGCAUCAGAUUGACAUUUACAAAGUAGAUUUAGAUUCUGAUUUUAGAAGUGGUUGAGGCUUUA